ensembl:snoRNA small nucleolar RNA, H/ACA box 24B
CUUGUAUCUUUGGGGCUUGUCUGUCAACUGGGGCACAUUUUUAUUUAUUGGCAAAACUGUCAACAAUUAAUUGGUGUCAGAUUCUGAUUUUACUGUUAAAAAUC